rnacentral:rRNA from 1 species
UACGUAGGAGGCAAGCGUUGUCCGGAAUUACUGGGCGUAAAGCGCGUGUAGGUGGUGGGACAAGUCUGCUGUGAAAGCCCCCGGCUCAACCGGGGAGAGUCGUCGUGGACUGUCGAGCUUGAGGGCGGUAGGGGUUGGUGGAAUUCCCGGUGUAGUGGUGAAAUGCGUAGAGAUCGGGAGGAACACCCGUGGCGAAGGCGGCCAACUGGGCCGACCCCUGGACGCUGAGGCGCGAAGGCGUGGGGAGCGAACGGG